AUUGAACGCUGGCGGCAGGCCUAACACAUGCAAGUCGAGCGGAGCGGCGGACGGGUGAGUAAUGCCUAGGAAUCUGCCUGGUAGUGGGGGAUAACGUCCGGAAACGGGAGCUAAUACCGCAUACUAUCAGAUGAGCCUAGGUCGGAUUAGCUAGUUGGUGGGGUAAAGGCCUACCAAGGCGGCGAUCCCUAGCUGGUCUGAGAGGAUGACCAGCCACACUGUAACUGAGAACCGGUCCAGACUCCUACGGUAGGCAUGCGUGGGGAAUAUUGCACAAUGUGCGCAAGCCUGAUGCAGCCAUGCCGCGUGUAUGAAGAAGGCCUGCGGGUUGGAAAGUACUUUCAGCGGUGAGGCGUUACCCGCAGAAGAAGCACCGGCUAACUCCGUGCCAGCAGCGGCGGUAAUAC
rnacentral:rRNA from 1 species